rnacentral:miRNA from 1 species
CAUCAACAGCAGCAGCAG